AUGCCGCUCGUCACCUGCGGUCGGACGGCGGUUAACAUUAACAGUGAGAUCGGGUCUUACUUCCCCACUCUAUGUGGGGUACGCCAGGUUGACCCAUUCUCCCUGUUUCUGUUCAACAUGGUAGUCGAUGCCCUCGCGGCCAUCCUUGAUAAGGCCAAAACUUGUGGCCAUAUACGCGGCGUAGUCCCUCACCUGGUGGGAGGGGGAGGGGUCUCCCUCCUUCAAUAUGCGGAUGAUACCAUCAUAAUGGUGGAGGGAUCCACGUCCGACAUUGCCAACCUGAAGUUCCUGGAGGGGGAGGUGGCUGUCAAAAGCGGCCAGAGUAAUCCUCAUCAACUCCUCGCUUGCCAGCCUACUCUGGUUUCUCAUGAGCUUCUAUGGCCUUCAUGA
rnacentral:rRNA from 1 species